UACGGAGGGAGCUAGCGUUGUUCGGAAUUACUGGGCGUAAAGGGCGCGUAGGCGGAUGUUUAAGUCGGGGGUGAAAGCCCGGGGCUCAACCUCGGAAUUGCCUUCGAUACUGGACAUCUUGAGUACGGGAGAGGUGAGUGGAACUCCGAGUGUAGAGGUGAAAUUCGUAGAUAUUCGGAAGAACACCAGUGGCGAAGGCGACUUACUGGACACAUAUUGACGCUGAGGUGCGAAAGCGUGGGGAGCAAACAGG
rnacentral:rRNA from 1 species